rnacentral:lncRNA from 1 species
GAUUUUCCUUUCUUGCUAAGAGUUAACAAAGUCUGCAUGUUUCCCUUGAUCUGAAAUCCAUCCAUCUAUGUUUGCAAGACGUUGUUGAGAAGAAGAGGAAGCUCCAGCUGUCUUGCGACGAUGCCUUCUUGGUUCAGCCAUGGAGGAAGNUUGGGAAAANGAAACUUUAAGAAGGUGAAGAAAAAUGAAGAGAUUUUGAGCUCUGGAUUUGAUUUCAGCAGUAUUUGGGUGCAAAGGAGUGUCUAAUAAUCGAUUAUGGGGGGCUAUUUAUAAGAAAAAUGGAAAAACUAGCCGUUUAUGGCCGUUUAUAGCCGUUAUGGGACGCUCCAACGACUCUAUUUUUGAAACUGUUAGCGCAAUAAUCGAUUAUGGCUCAUGAUAAUCGAUUAUCAGUUCAAUAAUCACUGCCCAGAAAAGCAUGAUAAUCGAUUAUGCCUGAUGAUAAUCGAUUAUCUGCUCAAAGUUUUCCAUAAUUGAAUUUUAUGAAUGAAUAAUCGAUUGUG